rnacentral:lncRNA from 1 species
GACCAUGUGGACAGGGCAUGGAGAAUCUUUUACUUGGGGUGGGGGGGGUGGUUAUUUCUAGAUAUAGAAUAUGGAGGUUACAAAAUAUUUAUGAGAAAAUUCCUAGAUUUAUGAAAUCUUUGAGGACUGACUUUGAUUUCCUGUUUUGUAAGAUUCUGGACCUCUUUGUCUUCUUAUUAGACCUGCUAUAUUUUAUACAUGUUACAGGGCAGUUAGCAGAAUACAUUGUUUUUAGAGGGAACAAAUAAUGAAGCAGACAGAACAUUGGGGUGGAAGUCAGGUCACCUGGAUUCUGAUCCCAAGUAUGGUACUUUGUGCCUUUGAACACUUCAUGCUCUCUAAGCCUCAAUUUCCUUAUUGGACGAGGUCAGGGUUUGAAACUGGAGGUCUUUUGAAGUCCAUUGAAGACUUGUUUGGUCAAGCUACACAACUGUUCGAAAUUUAAUGUCUUUUAAGCAUUUCUAAAGAAAUGCUUGCUCCAGGAUAGCUUAAGUCCUUUUGUCAUACAUGCACAUGAUGGCUUCUAUAGGUCUUGGGGCUUCUGAGCCCUGAUGUCCAGUCCCCUUUCAGGUUGGGCAUAUGAUUAUUCUACAAUAAAAUGAGUCAGAAUCAGGCUCUGUGGAGCCAAAGAUUCAAAGUAUUAAUUGACUGUCUGUCAAAGUAAACUAUUAUAUCUAUGCAACAACAACAAAAACAAAUAUAAACCCAGAACUAUUGUCUAGGCUUAUUUUACCCAAAAUCUCAUAGCUGCAAACUUCUGGAAAACUAAUUUAAGACUAGAAAUUAAUUACCCUUUAGGUUGAAGAAACAUACAUCAUUUAAUGCAAUCAUAAACGAGUAUCAACAUUUAUUAAAGAAUUAUUCCAAGAUGUUAUCAGUAGAAUGCGCUUCCUUGGUUGAUUUUUUUAAAAAGCCCUUUCCAAAUUACUUCCAAUACUAUUCCAUGAAAUUUGAGAAAGGGCAAAAGAGGUGUACACAGAAAUUGGUGAUGAUACAUUGUAAUUUAACCCCCCCCAAAAGCCACUUUUUAUACUAAUAACAUUGUCAUUAAAAGGAGGAGUCACUACAAUUCUAUAUUUCCUUUCAUGAGGACUUUGUCAACUUACUAUUUAAAAAAAAAUUUAUUGGCAUGUGUAGUAGAAUUACAGUUGUUGUGUUAGUUUCAGGUGCACAGCAAAGUGAAUCAGUCAUACAUACAACUAAAUGCAUUCUUUUUUCCCAUGUAAGUUAUUACGUGCUAUUGAGUAGGUUUCCCUGAGCUAUACAGUGGAUUCUUAUUAAUAACCUAUUUUAUUCAGUAGGUAUAUACAAUACAGUAGUGUGUAUACGUUACCCCCAUCCUCCCAGAACCUCCCUCCCCACCACUGGGUUCACCUAUGGUAACCUUAAGAUUGGUUUUGAAAUCUGUGAGUUUGUUUCUGUUUUAUUUAUUUAUUUUUUUUGUCUUUUUGCCAUUUCUUGGGCCGCUCCCGCGGCAUAUGGAGUUUCCCAGGCUAGGGGUCUAAUUGGAGCUCUGUGGUGUAGGUCACAGACACAGCUCAGAUCCUGCAUUGCUGUGGCUAUGGCAUAGGCUGGUACCUCCAUAUGCUGCAGGCGCAGCCCUUAAAAAAAAAAAAAAGUUCUUACUCAAGCUAGAAUCCUCCAACCUAUCCUUUUUAUUUUCCAUUAAGAGACAUUCAUGAACUACUUCCCUUUCCAUUAGUGAGUAACGAACUAAGCUAAGCUAUUCUAAUGUAGGCAAGGAAUUUAGAGGAUGCAAGGAUAGAAUAAUCCAAACAUUAAAGUAGUUAAGUUCACUGAGAAAAAAUUUCCAUCGUAAUCAAGUUUUAUAAAAAAGCAGCAUUAACAUUGACUGAUUUCUAGUGUUGUCUAUCCUUGGGGGUUCUUGUUCAUUUACCUGGUGGCUCUGCCUUGGCCUUGAUCUUGGAUUUCACAGUUGUUGUGUGACCUCCCCUUGUUAGCAUUGUUGGUAUAGCUGGUACUCAAUCUGGAGGUCAAUAGCAGAGCUUCCUUGGAUAUGUAAUCAGGAAAAUAUGAAAUGCUUUUGGAAAAUAUUAUCCUGUACUUAAAGAUUCUCUCUAAAUGCUCAGGUUGCCAUAAAAGUCAGUAUCAAAGUAUCGACAAGUUUCUGUUAUUUAAUAUUAAGAUUUUGUUUAUUUUAGUGACCUUAAUUGUUUUAAGGACAUGUAUGUCAUCUGAUACAUCAACCAGAUAUGCCCAAAUUCAGAAUUACUCUAUCUGUGCUAGAGAGUGGGAUGGACACUGCAGGUAAAUGGCUGGACAGAGGUGGAGGAUCCAAAUAACCAGCUUGGAGCAGAUCCUGGAGGGGGAUGUCUCUGGCUCCUGGGGCUCCAUAGCCUGGGUUUUUAUGGGGCCCUUGUGCUCUAGGGCAGGCAGUUAAAGGCUCUGAGCCAGAUUAGGGUCAUAGAAGGAUCCAUGAGAAUCUCUUUCCCAUGCUAACUAUUUACAGAAACAGGGCCAAAGUUUCAAUUAUUGUUCAAAUGUAGUUGUUGCAAUUACUGUUGCUAUUACGGUAGCACUUUUCAGAGCAGUUAACAUCAGUGCUGUGCUGAGGGAAGCGUAGUCAGAUAAUGGCUUUUCUCCUUGCUUUAUUGAUUCUCCAUUUACAAAUACACAUUUUUUCCUUCUAUAUUCUUACAGUAUGGAUCCCACUUCUAGAAGCUAAAAAUCUAUUAUGCCGAGUCAUAAACUGGUAAAAGCAGUUUCCUCAGCUCUGGGAAUACAGAGAUGAAUAAAAAACCGCCUUUGCCUCAGAAAAGUUUAUGAUCUAGUAGCAAAAGGAUGCUUGAAAACAAGGCAAUUGGUAUUUGGAAAUAAGACGGUAUCCUAUUCCAUUUGUUUCUUUUCUGCUUCUAUGAUUAAACAGUGAAAGUACUGAAAUAGAGGUCCAGUGUCAUACUCCUCUUUAUAAGUGCCUGGCACGUAGAAGUCUUUUCAAAACUGAAUUGGGUAAAUAUCUAAAUUCUUAUACUCAAUUAAAGGUACAGUAAAUUGAUACUAAUUUUAAUAGCUUUUUAGCCAUAAACAACUGAUCAUGUGAUCUUGUACAAGUCAUUCCCAUUCUCUAAACUUCUAGAACUGUCCAUCAUAAGAGGAUGAUGAAGCAGCAUGAGAAUGAAAUUAAUACUUCAGAGGAGUAACAUUUCAUUUCUGUAUGUAUGUCUGCACUGAUGUAUAGACUCUAAAUACUGUAAUGUCUCUUUCCUCGAGAAAAAUGCAUUAUAAGAUCGAAUUAUCACACAUCAUUACAGACAUUCAAUGCAGACAAUGACUUGGGCACUGUGAAGGCAGAAGAAAUUAGAAAGUGUGGACUCAUAAGUGUUGAAAUGACCCCCAUGGAGGACAGCCACAGACAGGUGCCUCUAACUGUUGAAGGGCUGUGGGCUCUGGAGUCCCCUCUUGCUCUCUCCAGGUUGCUCCCUGCUUUUGGUCAUUGUUGGGCACUCACUUUUCUAGCUGGUGAGCAGGAAAGGAGGAGAGCUCAGCCAAGGCUAAAUUCCAUUAUUUUCAACAACUCAGUCACCAGGAGAAGGAGUAGAGGAAGAUGCUAAAACCAGUGGCUUAAUUGGGACUUUUUAUUAUACAUAGCUUUCCUUGAUGCAUGAGUGUCCUUGUUUUCAUUAGGAAUGUGGUUCCAGUUGUUAAUCUGCAGGUUGAGGCAGUGCACUGCACUCAGCACUGCUGCUUCCUUUGAUGUCAGUCACAGGCCUGCAGGGUCAAUGUUCAGAAAGGAAAAGGAAAAGUCUCAAUGAUUCACAAAGGCAAGGAAAAUGUUUUUUAGGGAAGAAACAAGAAGGAACAAAUGAUUCUUCUGGAUUAUAGCCAAGUAGCAAGUAAGUCAAAUGUGUUGUUUGAGCAAGUUUAAGAAA